ACGGGAGGCAGCAGUGGGGAAUAUUGCACAAUGGGCGAAAGCCUGAUGCAGCGACGCCGCGUGAACGAAGAAGUAUUUCGGUAUGUAAAGUUCUAUCAGCAGGGAAGAUAAUGACGGUACCUGACUAAGAAGCACCGGCUAAAUACGUGCCAGCAGCCGCGGUAAUACGUAUGGUGCAAGCGUUAUCCGGAUUUACUGGGUGUAAAGGGAGCGCAGGCGGUCUAGCAAGUCUGAAGUGAAAUCCCGGGGCUUAACCCCGGAACUGCUUUGGAAACUGUUGGACUAGAGUGUCGGAGGGGUAAGCGGAAUUCCUAGUGUAGCGGUGAAAUGCGUAGAUAUUAGGAGGAACACCAGUGGCGAAGGCGGCUUACUGGACGAUAACUGACGCUGAGGCUCGAAAGCGUGGGGAGCAAACAGGAUUAGAUACCCUGGUA
rnacentral:rRNA from 1 species